CAGCAGCCACGGGAAUACGUAGGGUGCAAGCGUUAAUCGGAAUUAUUGGGCGUAAAGCGUGCGCAGGCGGUUUUGUAAGACAGAGGUGAAAUCCCCGGGCUCAACCUGGGAACUGCCUUUGUGACUGCAAGGCUGGAGUGCGGCAGAGGGGGAUGGAAUUCCGCGUGUAGCAGUGAAAUGCGUAGAUAUGCGGAGGAGCACCGAUGGCGAAGGCAAUCCCCUGGGCCUGCACUGACGCUGAGGCUCGAAAGCGUGGGGAGGGAACAGGAUUAGAUACCCCCGUAGUCCCUGUCUCUUAUAC
rnacentral:rRNA from 1 species